GGCAGUCGCUCGUUCCCUGUGUGUGGUUGCUGUGGCUCCUAAAGUGUCCUGUCAUCCUCCUUCUGAAAGAACACUUGCUAGUGUCGACAUCUGGAUGAGGAAACAGAGGCUCCGAUGUGGCAGUUGGGAGCGGUCCUUUGUCAGAAGCAGCAAAGGAACUCAACAGCCUGUGCGAGGAGGAAGGGGUACGAUUCCCCACUUCAGACAAGCAGCAGCCACAGACCAGCCCCUGCGCUACUACAGGUGCCUUUCCAGCCUCCGUUUGUCCACUCUGCUCCCUUGUCCUCAUUUUCCAGUGAAGAAGAGCGGGGGCAUGUGGGGUGCUGGGGCAGUGCGAGGGGUGCUAGAAGUGUCCUGCUAGGUGUUUCCC
rnacentral:lncRNA from 1 species